rnacentral:misc_RNA from 1 species
UUCUCAGAGACUUAAAGCUAUGAAGCCAUGGUGGUAGUUCCCGAAUGUUACAAUCAUAAAAUUCCACAAUUUUACAUUCAGUAUCAGGGACGCCCGGUUGCAAAAACGUUUCAGGGUUGUCCUCAAAGAGCACCCAAUGUGGACCAUCAAAAAGUUUGCUGAACUUUCCAAUAGUCAAGCUUUCCAACUUUCUUAGGCCUUUCAUCAGCUCUUCCAUUGGAAAUAAAAAUGAUUCCGUGUCAUAAACCGUCAUGAAGUUUGCUGAGCUAAAGCAUCCACCCAAUUUAACCUCUCUGCAUCCAUUGAUUUCCAAGUGAGAUAUCACCGGUAGGCUUUGAAAUGAAACCACCAAUUGCCAACAUCUAAUAAUGUUAAGUUUUUGCAAUGAAGGCAGAUGGCUGGGUAAUUUUCCCAACAGUUUGGGACACCCAUCAAUGGAAAGCUUGCGCAGAUGAGAGAAUUCACAUCCACGAAUAUUCCACUCUUCCCAUUCUUCCAUGUAAUUGAAGGUCAGAGUCUCGAGAGCUGGAAAAGGAUUUGAAUUGCCCUUACUCUCCCCAUAAAACUCACGAUCAACCGUUUUUACAUUGGAAAACCCU